rnacentral:lncRNA from 1 species
ACAACAUAAGGCUUAACUUUGAAUGUUUCAGUAAUGGUAAAGCUAAGCUCGUAGUUCACAGCCUUCUUCCCAAAGAUGUUGAACUUUCCUGCGCUCUUGUAAGCCACAUCGGCAUCAGCACCCUUCCUGAAAACUACUCUAGCCCGGUUCUUCUCCUCAUCAACCUCGGUUUGUGAAUCCCUUAUUGGUCCAAAAUGCCUGAACAUUUUACUCAGGUUCUUCUCAGAAGGUAUUGUAUCCGUUUCGGAAAAGUACAUUAUAAGCUCAGCUGGUGCAUUCUCAUCAAAGUCCGCUGGUUUGUCUGAAG